GCUCCGCUCUCCGCUCACUGUGCUGACGCUGUCAGUCCUGCUGCAGGGAACGCCUGUCGGCCAGAUGUGUCUUCGUUGCCAGUUCAAGAGAGAGGCGGCCGCUUUUCAGCACCAUCUAGAGGUUCUGUCCUUCGUGGGGACAGGGCCGUGUGCUGAGAAAAUGACUCCUCGGGCGAGAAAGUACCGCGUGUCCGUGGGGAGCUGGGCCUUGGCAUUUCACAGGGAACCAGCCGCAAAGGAACUGGGCUGCGCCCGGAUGACACCAUCGUAAGUGUCCCAAGUCCCGGAUCAAGGACCCGCGCGACUGUGGAGCCACAACUAAGCAGCCGGUGGCCGAGGGGACAGGCGGCGAGCCCGGACACUGCCUGCCCCUCUCUCCCCGAGCCUGGAGGAAGCAGUGGGACCCUCUCCCAAGGGGUGCCCAGCCCACGUCAACGUCCUGCGAAGGUCACGAACCCCAUUGAGGCCUCUCCCCUCUUCCCAGCCACCCUCUCGGGACGGUUUCCCUUUAAUAUAUAUAUAUAUUUACUGAUGCCAGAGAGGAAGGGAGAGGGAGCGAGAGAGAGAAACAUCAAUGAUGAGGGAGAAUCACCGAUCGGCUGCCUCCUACACGGCCCCUGCUGGGGAUGGAGCCCACAAUGACCAGGAAUCGUUGAUGCUCAACCACUGAGCCUCUCGGGCCUGUUUGUCUUGAACAUGUCUUGUGUUGCGACCAUCUUAUUAGUAUGAGAUUUGGGAAAGCAGAAUGGCCCCUCAUAGUCCCGGAUUGCAAUCAAUGUGACUCUUCAAUUCGACUUCUGGAGGCGUCCUUCUGUGAUUCGCGGGGUACAUUACAACCAUGGAACCUCAACUGUGGCAACUUCUUUGACCCUGAAUGACAGCAGGUGAACCUCCUGGGGUGUCACUCUCUGCUUCCGGGAGGAGGGAGGCGAUGGAGGGGGGAAGCAGAGACGAGGAGGAAUGGAGGGUGGCGGCAGGAAGGCCAGGGUGAGAAGGGGAGACGGAGGCAGGAGGGGUGACAGGAGAGGAGGCCUCCCUUCCCAGUCCCUCCGCCCUGUGGCCCCUCCAUCUGUUCCCUCCCAGCAGCCGGCCUCCGGUGCCUCCCUGGCCCCCCUCGCUGCACGGAGCGGGGUGCAUUGUGCGGGGACGGCCCCACUAUCUUUCCAGAACUUGUUCAUCAUCCAAAACUGAGGCCCUGGACCCAUCGAACAAUAACCCCCUGAAACCAGACUCCCGCUUUGUCUGUUGGCUUUUCAUGACGAGACUGAAUAGAACUCGAACAUUCUAGAGGGAUGACCUUUAAGUAGGUUAAGUCCGGGCGGGGCUGGAGCAGGGCUUCCAGGGGGGCAGUGAGAGGCCGGAAGCUCCUCCAGCCGCUGUUCCCACGGCCCGGGGGUCCCACGCGCCGGGGUGAGGCCGCGACACCCUCCGCAGGCGCCUGCGCACAGCGGGCCCUGCACGCGGGGCAGGAGGGAGGUAAGGAUGCUGAGGUCCUGGCCGCGGGCAAA